rnacentral:misc_RNA from 1 species
AUUCGGUGCUGAGGCGGCGGCUGCGGCACGGGAAAGGCUCAGUGACUGAAGCUCCAAAGGCCAGCAGGCUGGUGGGGACGUGACCGAAGCGAGGCUCUGGUUCCCUUUCGGUGGGCGCCAUUUGAGCCUCAUCUCUGGCUUCCCCAGGAUGCGCCGGCAGCCGGGGAGCGGCUCCGGGCGCGAGGUCUGAGGAUGAUCUUUCCUGUCGCCCGCUACGCGCUCCGGUGGCUGCGACGGCCCGAAGACCGUGCCUUUUCCCGCGCCGCCAUGGAGAUGGCCCUCCGAGGCGUGCGGAAAGUCCUCUGUGUGGCCGAAAAAAACGACGCGGCCAAGGGGAUCGCCGACCUGCUGUCAAACGGUCGCAUGAGGCGGAGAGAAGGACUUUCAAAAUUCAACAAGAUCUAUGAAUUUGAUUAUCAUCUGUAUGGCCAGAAUGUUACCAUGGUAAUGACUUCAGUUUCUGGACAUUUACUGGCUCAUGAUUUCCAGAUGCAGUUUCGAAAAUGGCUGGAGUGCAGUGGCACAAUCUUGACUCAUUGUAACCU